UACCAGCACCCCGAGUGGUCGGGACGAUUAUUGGGCCUAAAGCAUCCGUAGCCGGUUCUGCAAGUCCCCCGUUAAAUCCAGCUGCUCAACAGAUGGGCCGCGGAGGAUACUACAGAGCUAGGAGGCAGGAGAGGCAAGCGGUACUCAGUGGGUAGGGGUAAAAUCCGUUGAUCCAUUGAAGACCACCAGUGGCGAAGGCGGCUUGCCAGAAUGCGCUCGACGGUGAGGGAUGAAAGCUGGGGGAGCAAACCAGGAUUAGAAACCCCGGAG
rnacentral:rRNA from 1 species